UACGUAGGGUGCAAGCGUUGUCCGGACUUAGUUGGCGUAAAGCGCUCGUAGGCGGUUUGUCGCGUCUGCUGUGAAAGUUCGGGGCUCAACCCCGGAACUGCAGUGGGUACGGGCAGACUAGAGUGCGGUAGAGGAGACUGGAAUUCCUGGUGUAGCGGUGGAAUGCGCAGAUAUCAGGAGGAACACCAGUGGCGAAGGCGGGUCUCUGGGCCGCAACUGACGCUGAGGAGCGAAAGCGUGGGGAGCGAACAGG
rnacentral:rRNA from 1 species